UUGAAAGUUACUAAUAAAACGCAAGGUUUGUUGCAUAAUUGUGGAUUUAGAUUUUUUAAAUUUUGAAUUUUACUUUAAAGAAUAAAGUAUAAUUUAUCACAAUUUAUUUGAUAGGUGGAUCCAAAAAAAAUAUAAAAAAAAUAUUUAAUAAUAAAAAAUUUCAAAUUUAGAAAAUCCAAAUUUGAUUUCAACAUUGAUAACAUUGUUUGUUUUCACUAUUCCUAAUAACAAUGCAGCAUUUAUCAUUUAAGAGUUGGAAUCUUCUUCUUCGCGCUUCAGAGUCUGAGACUCAUCUUCUUCUUCGUGUUGAACUGCAGGGUCACUGUGUUGAAUUCGCUCUCCUCUAUUUUUUUUCUUCUUUUUUGAAUUGUAAAUUAACACACAAUUCACUAUUUCUAAUUAUAUUAUUGUGCUCGUUCAAUACUAAAACCAUUCGAUUCUUGCGACUGAUUCGAAUCGCUGGUGUACUGUCUCGUAUCUAAUUGACUACCAUGUUAAUAAUAAUAAGAAGAAGGUGAAGACUUAUUAAUCAAAUAAUGUAGUUAAUUUUUUAAAUUACCUAAAAUUUUUUAAAUAUCAAAUUCACAAGACCAUGUGAGUUUCUAGCUAAUAAUAAUAAUAAUAAGUUAAUAACCAGAAUUUUUCCUAGACAUUUGAAAAUAUGAAAUCCUAGUACUCAAUAAUAAGUUAAUAACCAGAGUUUUUCCUCUUUAACGUUCAAAAUGAAAUCCAACUCAAAGUUCAAAUCAGAACAACGAAGUACAAAGAAAAAACAAUUUUAAACUGUACUUUGUCAUUGGUCAGUAUAAUUCUAAUUCCAAUUACUACCAAACAAGACGUAUAACUAUUCUGAAAAAAAUGCAAAUGCAUCAAGAUAAACGAACUUUCAAGCACAAUUACCACUCGUAUGAGUACAUGACACAUCCAAGAAUCAGAAAAAUCCAACAACACGGAAGAGAGAGAGAGAAGAAAAAGAAAAAAGUCAAAAAGUCAAACCAAACAAUGCAUUAGAUCCAAUAAGAUCACCAAUCACCACACUUCCCAGAUCUUCAAGAUAUUCUAUAAAAACUAAAAAGCUUCGAAUUUAAGGACCCAAUGAAGAAGCAAAACAAACGCACUCAUCAAACUCUUACCUUGCUAACCACCAAUGGCAAAGCACGGGACCAUGAAGAA
rnacentral:lncRNA from 1 species